rnacentral:rRNA from 1 species
GGGGCAGCGGGGGAUGUAGCAAUACAUUCUGCCGGCGACCGGCGCAAGGGUGCGUAACGCGUGAGCAACAUGCCCGUCUCAGGGGGAUAACCGGUGGAAACGCCGCCUAAUACCCCAUGGCGAUAUAUUGAGGCAUCUUGAUAUAUCUAAAGCUCCGGCGGAGACGGAUUGGCUCGCGUGACAUUAGCUGGACGGCGGGGUAACGGCCCACCGUGGCUACGAUGUCUAGGGGUUCUGAGAGGAAGGUCCCCCACACUGGAACUGAGACACGGUCCAGACUCCUACGGGAGGCAGCAGUGAGGAAUAUUGGUCAAUGGGCGGGAGCCUGAACCAGCCAUGCCGCGUGAAGGCGAGUGCCCUACGGGCGUUAAACUUCUUUUGUGCGGGAGCAAUAAGGGCCACGCGUGGCCCGAUGAGAGUACCGCACGAAUAAGCAUCGGCUAACUCCGUGCCAGCAGCCGCGGUAAUACGGGGGAUGCGAGCGUUAUCCGGAUUUAUUGGGUUUAAAGGGUGCGUAGGCGGCGCUUCAGGUCAGCGGUGAAAUACCGGGGCUCAACCCCGGGGCUGCCGUUGAAACCGGAGCGCUAGAAUUCCGAUGCCGUCGGAGGAAUGUGUGGUGUAGCGGUGAAAUGCAUAGAUACCACACAGAACACCGAUUGCGAAGGCAUCUCACGAAUCCGCGAUUGACGCUGAUGCACGAAAGCGUGGGUAUCAAACAGGAUUAGAUACCCUGGUAGUCCACGCUGUAAACGAUGAUGACUAACCGUCGGCGAUACACAGUCGGUGGCCAAGCGAAAGCGAUAAGUCAUCCACCUGGGGAGUACGGCCGCAAGGCUGAAACUC